ensembl:lncRNA
CUUUGCUGGUGGUGGUGCUGUGUGGAGGGAUUGUUCUCUGCUCACAGUUACAGGGAUAAAUUGACAAAGGCUGAGCACAAACUCAGCUGCCAUCGCUCCAGAAGCCUCACUGCUGAAUCAGCAAAUUUCUGCUCCCAGAAUACUGGAUGCAGCCAGCGUGCCAUUAUGAUGCAUGCCAAGAGACCUGCGUGCUGCUCCUUCCAUUAGUCCCUUAUGGUUGCCACCCUCUGGACCUGCAGCUUCUUUUCCUUCUGGGCCUCCUUUGCUUCUCACACCUUUAAUUUCCGCAGCUGAGUAAACCUCCAGAGCAAGAUAUCUGGGAGGAAGGUGUGGGGCUGCCUCUCCACUGCCUGUGCUGAGGCAUCUGCGCUUGCUGUAUGUGCUCUGCAGCUCCACUGCCCUGCUGUCUGCCACCCCCUGGCCCUGUGGGACUCCCCUCUCUGUCCCUGUGGGGACAACCACAGGGUUGACACAGACCACAGACCUAAAUCAUCCUCCACCCUCCUGGAUUUUGGCCAUGUUUAAGAUCCAUCAGUUAAAAAGAUGCCUGAGAAGUGGCACCUGUUUGCUUUAAUGUUGCUUGAAAAGUGUGAAACCACUUCAGGCUUCUCACAGAAAAAAGGUAAUGUAGAGUAAAGUAUUAUGGUAUGGUUAGUAUCACUAAUCCCAAACUUAUUGCCCUAUAGUAGUUAUAAAGUUUGAGUGGUUUUUUUUUUCUGAGCUGAGGAAAUGGAGGAGUAAGAAAUAU